GGAAGGCUGGGGCCCAUCUGUGUGAGGAGUGUGGUCAGGGGUCCUCAGCCCAGCUGGGACACCAGCCAGGGUCCUCUUCCGGUCGAGUGCAGAGUUUUUGCUUGGAAAGUGGCAACUGAGAGCAGAAAGGCCUUGUGCUUUCACCAGAAGGAAAUGUUGCAUAUGUCAUCAGCUGAGCUUUUUCUAGACCAGGUUUCCAGUGGGAGAUAGUGCAUGUGCUAAUUCCUGCAGAAUUAACUCCCGCCCAUGUAAUUCUCCAAAUUGGCCUGUGCGUGGCUGGCAUCUUCCCAGGCAGAUGAAUUCCUCUUGGCUGUGGAGCCACAUGAGUGACGGUGAGCUGGAACCAGAAGAAAACAGGGACUGAAGCCAGGUAAGCUGUCAACCCUGGGCUGCAGAAAAACAGAAGAAAAGAGUAAAAAAAAUGGAGAGAAAGGGUCAGUGGGCAUGGAAGAGGGAAGGGGUUGAAUGGACCCCUACCAACCCAUGCCUGUCAUUAUCAUGUUUUCAACCUUUAGAAAUUUGAUGAGUGAAAAA
rnacentral:lncRNA from 1 species